rnacentral:rRNA from 1 species
UAGGGAAUCUUCCGCAAUGGACGAAAGUCUGACGGAGCAACGCCGCGUGAGUGAUGAAGGUUUUCGGAUCGUAAAACUCUGUUGUUAGGGAAGAACAAGUAUCGGAGUAACUGCCGGUACCUUGACGGUACCUAACCAGAAAGCCACGGCUAACUACGUGCCAGCAGCCGCGGUAAUACGUAGGUGGCAAGCGUUGUCCGGAAUUAUUGGGCGUAAGCGCGCGCAGGUGGUUCUUUAAGUCUGAUGUGAAAGCCCACGGCUCAACCGUGGAGGGUCAUUGGAAACUGGGGAACUUGAGUGCAGAAGAGGAAAGUGGAAUUCCAAGUGUAGCGGUGAAAUGCGUAGAGAUUUGGAGGAACACCAGUGGCGAAGGCGACUUUCUGGUCUGUAACUGACACUGAGGCGCGAAAGCGUGGGGAGCGAACAGG